AGGGUUUGACAUCCUGCGAAUCUCUUGGAAACUUGAGAGUGCCUUCGGGAACGCAGUGACAGGUGGUGCAUGGCUGUCGUCAGCUCGUGUCGUGAGAUGUUGGGUUAAGUCCCGCAACGAGCGCAACCCACGUCUUUAGUUGCCAGCAUUUAGUUGGGCACUCUAGAGAGACCGCCGGUGAUAAACCGGAGGAAGGUGUGGAUGACGUCAAGUCAUCAUGCCCCUUACAUCCUGGGCUACACACGUACUACAAUGCUACGGACAAAGGGCAGCAAGUUCGCGAGGACAAGCAAAUCCCAUAAACCGUAGCUCAGUUCAGAUCGUAGGCUGCAACUCGCCUACGUGAAGGAGGAAUCGCUAGUAAUCGCAGGUCAGCAUAC
rnacentral:rRNA from 1 species